rnacentral:tRNA from 1 species
GCUUCGGUGGCGGAAUUGGUAGACGCGCUGGACUCAAAAUCCAGUGAUAGCAGUAUCGUGUGGGUUCGAUUCCCACCCGGAGUACAA